rnacentral:rRNA from 2 species
UACGUAGGGGGCGAGCGUUGUCCGGAAUGAUUGGGCGUAAAGGGCGCGUAGGCGGCCUGUUAAGUCUGGAGUGAAAGUCCUGCCUUCAAGGUGGGAAUUGCUUUGGAUACUGGCGGGCUUGAGUGCAGGAGAGGUUAUCGGAAUUCCCGGUGUAGCGGUGAAAUGCGUAGAGAUCGGGAGGAACACCAGUGGCGAAGGCGGGUAACUGGACUGCAACUGACGCUGAGGCGCGAAAGUGUGGGGAGCAAACAGG